AGCGGAGGAAAAGAAACUAACAAGGAUUCCCCUAGUAACGGCGAGUGAAGCGGGAAGAGCUCAAAUUUGAAAUCUGAUGGCCUCAGGCUAUCCGAGUUGUAAUCUAUAGGAACGUUUUCCGUGCCGGCUCAUGUACAAGUCCCUUGGAACAGGGCGUCAUAGAGGGUGAGAAUCCCGUACUUGACAUGAACUACCGGUGCUCUGUGAUACGUCUCCAACGAGUCGAGUUGUUUGGGAAUGCAGCUCAAAAUGGGUGGUAAAUUCCAUCUAAAGCUAAAUAUUGGUGUGAGACCGAUAGCGAACAAGUACCGUGAGGGAAAGAUGAAAAGCACUUUGGAAAGAGAGUUAAAAAGUAUGUGAAAUUGUUGAAAGGGAAACGAUUGAAGUCAGUCAUGUCCUUCAGAUUCAGCUGGUUCUGCCGGUGUAUUUCUGUUGGAUGGGGUCAACAUCAGUUUUGGAUGCCGGAUAAAGGCUGGAGGAAGGUAGUACCCCCGGGUAAACUUAUAGCCUCCUGUCGCAUACGGUGACCGGGACUGAGGAACGCAGCUUGCCUUUAUGGCCGGGGUUCGCCCACGUACAAGCUUAGGAUGUUGACAUAAUGGCUUUAAACGACCCGUCUUG
rnacentral:rRNA from 1 species